GGAGAUCAAGACACUGGAUCACAUCAGAAUAAAGAUUCUGCAAUUGAAAAACUGACAGUUUUCCAAGAGCAGACCUUUAUUUCGGGCCGCAAUGUGACUUUACGAUGUGGCAAUCACACUGUUGUCAAGUGGAAUGAAUUCAUUUAUACCAUCUGGAACAUUAGCCUGCAAGAGAGAAAAUGUCGGCUUGGUUUGUCACCCAAGCUGGACGACACAUGCAAAGAUGGAAAGAAGCUGUACAACACUUCAGAUGGAGUUUCCAUAUUCAUUCCCAAGAUUUCAAUAGAAGAUGAAGGAUCUUACUUUUGUGAUGUAUCAUAUAAAGGAGGAAGCUAUUCACUAAAUGUGACUGUAAGCGUUACCAAUGUUUCCACCUGGCAGUACAACAAAAACAAUCAAAGAAUUGCUGUCUGUAAAUCCACAUAUAAAAUGAAAGCGCCCACUCUUCAUUGGGAACCUGCCUUGAACUUUUCCUCCAACAUCAGUUCUGUCAAGAAGCUUGGCAAGUUUUUUAUGCUGGAGAAUCAAGUAUAUCUGCCGGAAAAUCUCAUCAUCAGUGAGCUCGCUUGUGUGGCCACAUACACCUCUGAGUCCGGCCCUGUGCAGCAUAAAAGCACACUUCAUUUUACAGAAAUAACAUUUUGUCUCAGAAUGAAGGAAGAAACACCCACAAAGAGAUGAAGAAAUAUGGACGAUACACAGGAUGUGAACAGCUAAAACAAACACGGCAAGUGGAUUGGAGGGUGUGCCUGUGAACUGCUGACAUUAUUUUAACACAGAGCAUCUUAAGAAUUACAGCAAACGCACCAAAUAGUGCAUUAAAAAGUUUCGUUUAUCCUCUUAGUUUUAUUUUGUCUGAAAUGAAGAGGCAAUUACAUUUUUAUUUGGCCUCUGAGUUAUCAAAAAAAUAAAGUCCAAACAUUUUGCUUGUGCUAUUUUUCUUUUGUAUAAAUGCCACUCAAAUUGAUAUUUUGUUAUAUAAUGCAAUGUCAUUUAUAAAGUGUGGGACCCAAAGGAUCCAAAUGUUUUUGGGGCAAUUGUAAAACUAGCAGUUACAUGAAGAUGUCGCACAAAUGUCACAAAGUCCACAAAUCUUUUCUUAAAGAAAUAAGAAUGGAACUGAGAUGCAUAAAACACACUGUUCCAAAAACUACUGAGGCCUCCUGUUACCCUUUAUUUAUCGGUAAUCUGUUGUGAUUUCAUUAUUUGCACUUAUGCAAUAAAUUCCAAAGCCAUCAUUGUGUGUUUGCAAGAGAGAGUGAAAGAGAUUAUAUCUAUUCAGACUGAGGUCAGGUAGCAGCAUUACUCACCAGACAGCUCACCAUCAGCACUUUAUUUAACUUGUAUUGAUGAACUCAUUCAUCCUAACAUUUCAAACCCUGCACCCAUUACCCACUGCCUAAAAACCAACUCAGCUGAGUCUGAACCAUGAGCAUAACUGCAUAUUAUUAUUCUACAAAACUGAGGUUAUUGUGGUAUACUGUAGUGCUUAGUAAAGUGAGCUAGCAGUGACUGUAGUCCAGGACAUUGUGACUUUAUGGAAGGUCAUGAGAUUCACCGAAGACGAGCCCAGGAUUGUUUAUACUGAAAGGGCCUGAACAUUGGGUUUACAUCAUGGGAAAGCUGGAUUCAUUAAUUCAUGGCAGCCUUCUAGAAAAAAAUAGACACAUUUUCUGAAAUCACAUGCACUCAAUGACCACUCUUUAGCCUCUUUCACACAGCAAUACUGGUAAAUUGCUGUAAAAUUAUCAUAACGACUUUACUGGUAAAUACAAAGAUGUGCUGUUCACACAGGCAACGACGUUCCGUCUUUUUUUCCGGUAAAACGCCAUUCACACAUCAGUUUCAAAAUACCAGUAAAUUCUGUGACAUCAUUAACUGGAAUUGACUCCUAAAUGGCUGCACCUCCCCGGUGUUCUGUUUGUAAACAUUUUUUUAACAUUUUACUUUUUCAGUCUUGUGUCAAAUGUUCACAUUCAUGCAGUUGUUUUUGGCCCAGAAACAUCGUAUUAGAUUACUUCAAACCAAACUACACAGUGCAGAGUAAAUGCAUCAUCUGCGUCAGAAUGUAAUGAUUGGUCCAGAGUAGACGUCUUACGUCAGUGCGUUCUAAACUCGUACGUGUUCAUACUGGUAAUCUCAUUCUGCGUACACACAGAGCGCAUUACCGGUAAUGUUACAACUUCCCAUACCGCUAAAUUGCCUUAACAAAUUUACCGGUAUUUUGAAAAGGUCCUGUUCACACACGAUUUCUUAAUGGUAUUUACUGGUUAUUUAUCAGUAAAGACUGUGUGUGAAAGGGACAUUUGUCAAAUUCCUGCAGCUGCUUCAGAGUUGCUGUUGGUCACCUCUCUGUUUCCUCCUGACUCUUUCAUCCAGUUUGGAGCGACGUCCUGAUCCAGGGAGGGUCUGUACCAAAUACCUUCCACUUCUUAAUAACAGACUUCACUGGGCUUCUAGGCAUUGAUAAAGCCUUUGACAUUUUUUUUGUAUCCAUCUCCUGACUUGUGUCCAUCCACAACUUUAUUCCAGAGAUCUUUUCAUUCAGAGUUGAUUGUUUGCUUCACUUGCACUACCAAGAACUGAAAUGCUCCAGGAAAGCCCUUUUCAUGUUGAGUUGAUCAAAAUGACCACAGCUGAAUGUCAAAUGGCUUUGUGUGCCAUUGAGAAGGUGAUAAGCUGCACCUGAUUGAGUUCACAAGUAAUUUUUGAGGGGGGUGAUCCUUUUUACAGCCCUUUUUCUCACUUGGGUGUUAUAAGUUGCACUGAGUAAAUACAGCUGGAUAAAACAAAAACUGUGUCCCUCUUCAUUUUAGGCUGCAAAACAAAAAAUGUGAUUAUUUUAGGGGGGGGGUUCUUUUUUACCCACUGUAUACCCACACACACAUGUCUCUCUCUCGCUAUGUCUCUCUAUACUUUUAAGUACUGAGUAACAUUAAUUACAUACUACAUGAUUAGGGUUAGGACGAGGGUUUGGUUUAGGAGAAGUUGCAUAUAAUAAUGCAUAACUUAUUGUUGUUACUAUAGUAAGUACAUGUACGUGCAGCAACUCCAUACAAUAAAGUGUUACCAUACAUACACACAUCUAUCUAUCUAUCUAUCUAUCUAUCUAUCUAUACUGCCAUUCAAAAGUUUGGGAUCAGUAAGAUUGCUGAUGUUUUUAGAAAGAAAAGUAUCCUGAAGAAUCCUGAAAAAAGUUGUCUAAAAAGAGUUUACGCAAAACCUCACUUAUGACUACACCUCAAUUCUUGACAUUAACUUAAUGUGGAAAGUAACCUAAUUUGUCCAAUCUCUGAAUUCUCCAUUGACACUGAAAUGCGUAAGAGGUUUUUUUACGACACCACUUGGGUCAGAGAAGUGAAGACAAGGAUACUCGACUUUACGCUCGUUUCUCCUCUCAUUUGCAAAUCAUGAUAUUUUAGUCAUCUGACAUUUUUACUGCUAAUAACACAGAUGUACAAAAAAUACCUUUACCUUUUUCAAAGGUCAUCCACAACUGUUAAAAAUAUAGGAUAAGUCAUUAGGAUUUCUCUUCGGGGGUGCAACUGAAACAAGGAAUCCACAAUAAUACACUCAAGUGAAAAGAAUAUCUACAUGAUGUGCCAGUAAACAACUCAGCUGAGGAUAAACAACAUUACGAGCCUCAUUGCCUCAACAUAAGUGACCCCUGCAGGGCAUUCUUGUGUUAGAAGAACACAACUACCCUUUUCACCUUUCAGCACAAGAUGUGAAUUAUCCAAGCAGCUAAAAUUCAAUGUCUUAAUGAGUUAUUUAUAUAUAUUAAAAACUACAGGGAUUCACAUGUGUUUAGAUCGAACGACAGUAGGCUACACUAUUUAUAUUUAAUAAUUAAGCUCAAAUUGAAGAUUGACAAGAAGGGAGAAACACAAAAUAACACAUUUGUUGCAUUAUACCUCAUUUGACGUAUAUAUGCAGAUGAUUCUGUAAGGAUGUUUUGAGAUUUUGCUGUCAAGUGAUCUACAUAGCAAACACAAUAUAACAAAGAAAAAAAUGCUUUGUUAAAAUUAGCUAUGCAGCCAAUCUUCUAAUAAAUAAAUACAUAAAUCUGAAUGCAAAAAUCCCAGUUCAUUUAAUUUUGCAAGAUAUUAUAAGACACUAUAACUCUCUGAGCACUCCAAACACACACACACACACACACACACACACACACAAAUGGAAGAUUAGCCUAGCCAACUAGUCUAGAAAACAUGUUUCUCCUGUCUUUUCAUGCUACCAAAGGCCACCAAGCGUCUUCAAAGUGCAACAAUAUGCAGACAUUGCGCGACCCUGUGGCAAACGUUAAAAGGAUUGGCUCAUGAAUAUUAAUUGACUUUUGCGUACCGAGACACUCUAUUGGAUGAUAGUGGAACCACGUCACAGUGAGGCAAUUCAUUUUCAUGAGCUAGGUCUCCGCCACAGAAGCGUCACUGGUCCUGCACAACUCACUACAACACUUAUCUGAAUAACUUUUCCAGCAGCCCAGACUUUUAUUCUUUAAAAACUAUCAUAAGAUAAUAUAACUAUUAAGAAACAUAUUCAUAGUGCUCUACCAGCC
ensembl:lncRNA